GGAAGUUUGCCCACAACUGUUAAAUUACUUUAGCCUCCACUACAAGAUGACUGGUUACUGAAAAUAAUCCCAGGGAAUGGUGCACAGGAGUCAUUCAAGAGUGUCCCGUUGGACCCGCAUAAGUUUUUGCAUCUAUAGCAUCAUUUGGGAAGGCACUUCACAGGUCCAAUGAUCACAGCAUAAGGAACAAGGUGUUUUUCGUUUGGCCCAUCUCCUAGAGGAUAUGAGUCUCUUUUCAGUGUAUACCUGAGGAACAAGUAUCCCCUGAUGAGUUGCCUGGUUUUAUGUGAAUUCCUUUGCUCACAUGCCCUGCUGACAUACUGAGGAAGGUUUUUUGAAGUAUGUUUCUCAGAUAAACUCAGGGAUUAUACCCCAGGAAUGUACCACAGGGAAGAUAAAACUAUCAUGAGGAAAGGAACAUUUCAGGUGCUUGUGCAAUUUAUUUUUUAACUGCACUGAGAUUAUCUUUACAGCUGCAUCUGCAGGAAUUUAUCAGCCUCCUUACAAUCUUCCUCCCUAUGUACUUAGUUGCCUCCUGAAAAAACACAUCACUUAUCAAUAAGGUGUACUCUUCCUCAGCUGCAGGAUUAUGAGCCUCUCCUUGAAAGCUGAAAGGAAUUUCUCCUGUUUCACCAAAACUGUGAAAAUUGUCAAAACAAGCAGAUAGAGAAUAACAAUGAAGGAAAAAAGUUUCUU
rnacentral:lncRNA from 1 species